rnacentral:rRNA from 1 species
GGUGAACGCUGGCGGCGUGCCUAAGACAUGCAAGUCGAGCGGGGCAGGUUUAUACCUGUUCAGCGGCGGACGGGUGAGUAACGCGUGGGUGACCUACCCGGAAGAGGCGGACAACCUGGGGAAACCCAGGCUAAUCCGCCAUGUGGUCCUGUCCUGUGGGGCAGGACUAAAGGGGCGACCCGCUUCCGGAUGGGCCCGCGUCCCAUCAGCUAGUUGGUGGGGUAAAGGCCCACCAAGGCGACGACGGGUAGCCGGUCUGAGAGGAUGGCCGGCCACAGGGGCACUGAGACACGGGCCCCACUCCGACGGGAGGCAGCAGUUAGGAAUCUUCCGCAAUGGACGGAAGUCUGACGGAGCGACGCCGCUUGGAGGAGGAAGCCCUUCGGGGUGUAAACUCCUGAACUGGGGACGAAAGCCCCGUGUAGGGGGAUGACGGUACCCAGGUAAUAGCGCCGGCCAACUCCGUG